UACGAAGGGGGCUAGCGUUGUUCGGAAUUACUGGGCGUAAAGGGUGUGUAGGCGGUCUAGCAAGUCAGGAGUGAAAUCCCCAGGCUCAACCUGGGAAUUGCUUUUGAUACUGCUAGGCUUGAGUACGGAAGAGGUGAGUGGAAUUCCCAGUGUAGAGGUAAAAUUCGUAGAUAUUGGGAGGAACACCAGUGGCGAAGGCGGCUCACUGGUCCGUAACUGACGCUGAGACACGAAAGCGUGGGGAGCAAACAGG
rnacentral:rRNA from 1 species